GGGCGCAUGGUGUAGUUGGUUAUCACAUCCGCUUAGCACUUGACUGUGUCUGCGGGGGGUGCUGGGUUCAAUUCCCAGUGCGUCCA